rnacentral:rRNA from 1 species
AUUGAACGCUGGCGGCAGGCCUAACACAUGCAAGUCGAACGAGUGGCGGACGGGUGAGUAAUGUAUGGGAAACUGCCCGAUGGAGGGGGAUAACUACUGGAAACGGUAGCUAAUACCGCAUACCAUGGGAUGUGCCCAGAUGGGAUUAGCUAGUAGGUGGGGUAACGGCUCACCUAGGCGACGAUCCCUAGCUGGUCUGAGAGGAGGACCAGCCACACUGGAACUGGGCCACGGUCCAGCCUCCUACGGGAGGAAGCAUGGGGGAAUAUUGCACAAUGGGCGCAACCCUGAUGCAGCCAUGCCGCGUUUAUGAAGAAGGCCUUCGGGUUUUAAAGUACUUUCAGCGGGGAGGCGUUACCCGCACAAGAAGCCCCGGCUAACUCCGUGCCAGCCGCCGCGGUAAUUC